AUGGAUAAUUACGCUUACAAUUCCUACGCUGAAUCCGGCGAUUCCUCCCCUCGUUCCCGCGAGAUCGAUUUCGAAAACCCUCCUCCAUGGGACGACGCUCAGCUCCAGCACCACAACUACAAGGUCAAGUUCAUGUGUAGCUAUGGCGGUAAGAUCCAUCCCCGUCCUCACGAUAACCUUCUCUCUUACGUCGGUGGCGAGACUAAGAUCUUCGCCGUCGAUCGCUCUAUCAAGUUCGCUUCCAUGAUCGCUAAGCUUUCUUCGCUUUGUGAUACUGAAGUCACCUUCAAGUACCAGCUCCCUGGUGAGGAU
rnacentral:misc_RNA from 1 species